UUAUUUUGUUUUUUUUUUUUCUGCUCAGGAUGAACGCUGGCGGCGUGCUAAUACAUGCAAGUCGAACGAGUUCUCGUUGAUGAUCGGUGCUUGCACCGAGAUUCAACAUGGAACGAGUGGCGGACGGGUGAGUAACACGUGGGUAACCUGCCCUUAAGUGGGGGAUAACAUUUGGAAACAGAUGCUAAUACCGCAUAGAUCCAAGAACCGCAUGGUUCUUGGCUGAAAGAUGGCGUAAGCUAUCGCUUUUGGAUGGACCCGCGGCGUAUUAGCUAGUUGGUGAGGUAAUGGCUCACCAAGGCGAUGAUACGUAGCCGAACUGAGAGGUUGAUCGGCCACAUUGGGACUGAGACACGGCCCAAACUCCUACGGGAGGCAGCAGUAGGGAAUCUUCCACAAUGGACGCAAGUCUGAUGGAGCAACGCCGCGUGAGUGAAGAAGGCUUUCGGGUCGUAAAACUCUGUUGUUGGAGAAGAAUGGUCGGCAGAGUAACUGUUGUCGGCGUGACGGUAUCCAACCAGAAAGCCACGGCUAACUACGUGCCAGCAGCCGCGGUAAUACGUAGGUGGCAAGCGUUAUCCGGAUUUAUUGGGCGUAAAGCGAGCGCAGGCGGUUUUUUAAGUCUGAUGUGAAAGCCCUCGGCUUAACCGAGGAAGCGCAUCGGAAACUGGGAAACUUGAGUGCAGAAGAGGACAGUGGAACUCCAUGUGUAGCGGUGAAAUGCGUAGAUAUAUGGAAGAACACCAGUGGCGAAGGCGGCUGUCUGGUCUGUAACUGACGCUGAGGCUCGAAAGCAUGGGUAGCGAACAGGAUUAGAUACCCUGGUAGUCCAUGCCGUAAACGAUGAAUGCUAGGUGUUGGAGGGUUUCCGCCCUUCAGUGCCGCAGCUAACGCAUAAGCAUUCCCCCGCCG
rnacentral:rRNA from 2 species